rfam:Dipodomys ordii contig_56831, whole genome shotgun sequence.
GGUGGCUCAGUGGUAGAGCGCUUGCCUUGAAUGCAUGAGGUCCUGGGUUCGAUUCCUCAGCACCA